rnacentral:tRNA from 1 species
GGGCCCGUAGUCUAGCGGUAUGGCAUAGUUUAAUGCCCCGUAAGGAUAUCGCCCUCACACGGCGGGGGAAUAGCCUUGCAAUAAGGCUAUACCGACUCCCGGGUUCAAAUCCCGGCGGGCCCA